rnacentral:rRNA from 1 species
CCUANGGGUGGCUGCAGUGGGGAAUAUUGGACAAUGGGCGCAAGCCUGAUCCAGCCAUGCCGCGUGAGUGACGAAGGCCUUAGGGUUGUAAAGCUCUUUUGGCGGGGAAGAUAAUGACGGUACCCGCAGAAUAAGCUCCGGCUAACUUCGUGCCAGCAGCCGCGGUAAUACGAAGGGAGCUAGCGUUGUUCGGAAUCACUGGGCGUAAAGCGCACGUAGGCGGAUGUGUCAGUCAGGGGUGAAAUCCCGGAGCUCAACUUCGGAACUGCCCUUGAUACAGCACGUCUUGAGUCCGAUAGAGGUGGGUGGAAUUCCUAGUGUAGAGGUGAAAUUCGUAGAUAUUAGGAAGAACACCGGUGGCGAAGGCGGCCCACUGGAUCGGUACUGACGCUGAGGUGCGAAAGCGUGGGGAGCAAACAGGAUUAGAUACCCGGNUANUC